rnacentral:tRNA from 1 species
GGGGGUAUAGAUCAGUGGUAGAAAGUAUACUUAGCAUGUUGAGGUCCUGGGUUCAACCCCCAGUACCUUCA